GACGUAGGGCGCGAGCGUUGUCCGGAUUUAUUGGGCGUAAAGAGCUCGUAGGCGGCUUGUCGCGUCGAAUGUGAAAACUCGGGGCUCAACCCCGCGCUUGCAUUCGAUACGGGCAGGCUCGAGUUCGGUAGGGGAGACUGGAAUUCCUGGUGUAGCGGUGGAAUGCGCAGAUAUCAGGAGGAACACCGGUGGCGAAGGCGGGUCUCUGGGCCGAUGACUGACGCUGAGGAGCGAAAGCGUGGGGAGCGAACAGG
rnacentral:rRNA from 1 species